AAAUCCAUGGAAUGCCCACACCUUGAAUACUGCUUGCAAUUCUGAUUGCCUCAUCUGAAAAACAUAUGUUAGAACUGGAAAAUGUACAGAGAAGGGCAACACAAAUGAUUAGGGGUGUGGAACAGCUACCA